UUUUCCAGGUCCAACUUUACCAAAAUUGUAUGGAUCUUCGCAUCUCUAUGGCCUGUGGCAUCAAAAUUGAACCUCCUCCUAAAGCAUAAGGGGUGGGAAACUAUGGAAUAACGACCUUGUCCAGCUUACGAAGCUCCUGAAUGAUGGAAAGAAAUCAGGAGACAACCAUGCAUCGUUUGUAGUUUUAGUAGUUCUCAGUUUCUGUUCUUCCUUUUGUCUAAUAAAGUUGUUCCAUUAUGGUA